ACAUCCACACAUACACAGACAUCCACACAUACACAGACAUCCACACAUACACAGACAUCCACACAUAGACAUCCACACAUCCACAAACAGACAUCCACACAUCCACAAACAGACAUCCACACAUACACAGACAUCCACACAUACACAGACAUCCACACAUACACAGACAUCCACACAUACACAGACAUCCACACAUACACAGACAUCCACAGACAUCCACAGACAUCCACACAUCCACAAACAGACAUCCACACAUCCACAAACAGACAUCCACACAUCCACAAACAGACAUCCACACAUCCACAAACAGACAUC